rnacentral:rRNA from 1 species
AUUGAACGCUGGCGGCAUGCCUUACACAUGCAAGUCGAACGGCAGCACGGGAGCUUGCUCCUGGUGGCGAGUGGCGAACGGGUGAGUAAUACAUCGGAACGUACCCAGUAGUGGGGGAUAACGCACCGAAAGGUGCGCUAAUACCGCAUACGACCUACGGGUGAAAGCGGGGGACCGUAAGGCCUCGCGCUAUGGGAGCGGCCGAUGUCUGAUUAGCUAGUUGGCGGGGUAAUAGCCCACCAAGGCGACGAUCAGUAGCUGGUCUGAGAGGACGAUCAGCCACACUGGGACAGAGACACGGCCCAGACUCCUACGGGAGGCAGCAGUGGGGAAUUUUGGACAAUGGGGGCAACCCUGAUCCAGCAAUGCCGCGUGUGCGAAGAAGGCCUUCGGGUUGUAAAGCACUUUUGUCAGGGAAGAAAUCUUUCAGGCUAAUACCCUUGGAAGGAUGACGGUACCUGAAGAAUAAGCACCGGCUAACUACGUGCCAGCCGCCGCAGUAA